rnacentral:tRNA from 1 species
GGAGCUAUGGUGUAGUGGCAGCACUUGGGAUUUUGAUUCCCACAACCCAGGUUCGAACCCUGGUAGUUCCU